UACGGAGGGGGCUAGCGUUGUUCGGAAUUACUGGGCGUAAAGCGCGUGUAGGCGGUUUGCCAAGUCAGGUGUGAAAGCCUUGGGCUUAACCCAAGAAAUGCACUUGGUACUGGCAGACUAGAGGACCGGAGAGGAUAGUGGAAUUCCCAGUGUAGUGGUGAAAUACGUAGAGAUUGGGAAGAACACCAGUGGCAAAGGCGGCUAUCUGGACGGUUUCUGACGCUAAGACGCGAAAGCGUGGGGAGCAAACAGG
rnacentral:rRNA from 1 species